rnacentral:lncRNA from 1 species
UCCCCUCUAUGUUUAUAUUUAUAGACUCGAGUUGUUACAAACUCCCCACGUCGUGCCGCACCGGUGCGCAACACCGUUUCCUUGCGGUGUGCGCCACAUGCGCCGUGCGCGCCACGACGUGGCUGACCGGGACUCAUACGGGUUUGAUCGUAAUCGAGCAUGCCUCCAAUCACGUCAUCCCCCAAACCUUAAUCGACUCUAGCUUUCCUAACUGAAACAAAGAUUACAUAUAAUGUGUUUGCAACA